ensembl:snoRNA small nucleolar RNA SNORD47
AACCUGUGAUGAAAAGAUUCUGCCAAAUGAUUCCUUUGAUUAUACUCCUUACCGUUCCAUUUUGACUGAGGUU